CAAGUGCCCCAGGAACAGCGUUUCACCAUAUCUUGGGAAAAUACAGCAAAAAAAAAAAGCAAGCUAGAAAACGAUUCCAUUCGAGUCAGUGGAACGCAGCCAUGAAAGUGUCGGACCUCAGAUAGAGCAAUUCCUAUACUGCGCUGUGAUUGGCCAGCUCCAUAUUCAGGGCGUGGCUUAGCAAAGGGUCAAUUUUCAACAGAGACAACAACGUUCUCGCUGAUGUUGUUAUAACAGAACUCCUCUUGUGUGACAAAUCAAUCUGAACUAAUGUAGCCUGAGCCUUCAGCAGAGGACAGAAGCAGGUUACAGAGGUCUGUUUACAGACUGCAGCUGCUGGAGAAUCCAGUGAUGCAUCAUCGUCUCUAACCGGACAGUGUUUGAGCCGGGACUGUACAGCUAUCCUGACCUGUAGUCCGACCUUCAGCUCCUCCUCCUGGGCCAACCGGUCCGAGUCAGGAGAGUCGUGGAGGAACCAGUACCAGGAGGAUCCUGUGUGUGAUCUGCAGCAGCUCUCUCUCAGCUCUGGAGCUGCUCUCUAAACCACAUGAGGAUCCAUGUGACCGUGACAUCAUCAGUCACCGCCCUCCACACGCCAGCCCCGCUGACUGACACGGCGGUCAGCCAAUGAGAAGAGAGGGGAGGACAGAGCGAGAGCAGCGUCUCGAUGGACACAUCAUCAUCCAGACUCGCACAAAACAACACAUGACAUGUUUGUGCUGCCUGCUUUCGUCACUGCGGUUCAGUUCAAAGAAAACAAGAGGGGGACGAGGCAUGAAAAGGAAGGAAGGAAGGAGGAGUGACACACGGAAUAAGAAAGCAAAGAACAAACAGCAAAACAUGACCACGGAGGAAGAUAAGAGAGGACGACAACAACAAGAAGCCACAGAGAAACGCAGCUUCAGCAGAACUCUGUCCAGUUGCAUCCAUCCAUUCAUCCAGCCAGCAGCACAAAUCUAAAGAUACCCAUCGGCCGAGAACAUGAUCACCGAGCAAGUUGUUUAUCAGAUGCAGCAAAACAAACCACGAGAAGAGUUCAUGUUAAUAAUAAAACACAAAGGUUCA